AGCCCUAUGGUAUAACGGCAGCACAGCAGGUUUUGGCUCUGCUAGUGAAGGUUCGACUCCUUCUGGGGCAACUA
rnacentral:tRNA from 1 species